GUUUGACAAUGCUAUUAUGUAACCAUAUUCUUUCAAUGCUAGAAGUUCCCAAAGUUUUUGUUCUGUCUCUUAACUCCAUUUUGAUAUACAUAUUUUUUUUUGUGGGACAACUAUUUUAAGAAAAGGUUCUGUAAUCAAUGUCCCCACGUUCACCUUUUUGUCCUUUAUUAUUUGGGUUUUGACAGUCCAUUAGAAAUCAGUGUAACACUUUUGGACAGUAUUUUAAUCUGAUGGAAGUACACCUUUAUCAUAAAGUUAUUGAGAGGUUUUGAAGGCAAUCAGGCAAUAAAUGAUCAUCAUUACUUAUGCUAGUGCUUCUCCACUCGAUUCCAAUAAGUCGUGGGCAUUGUAGGUGGGAGAAGAUACACAUGACCUGAGAGUCGUAUCCUUCAGUGAUGGCGUCCUAAUAUUCUGUGACUCAAAAUGAUCAAAUCUACAGACACAUUUCUGGGAGAAAACAGAAACCACGGUUUGCUACACCUGGACCUAGCAACUGUUGGAAUUUACUGAUCCACCCCAUUUAGAUCAAUCGAGUGCUGUUUUUGUCUUCUCCAGAGUUCUUCUUGCAAACCCAUUUUUAAAACAGGGAACCCAACGCCGGCUUGUGACCAAUAGUUUGGGAAACCCUACUUCUAAACAUUUAAAGCUAGAGUAGAGUUCCCCCAAGCUAUUUAAAGAGAUGCCAAGUGCUCAAAAAGUAGCCUGCCGUUUUCAUUUCGCGCACUAUCCCCGUUGCUGUCCCAUGUUUUUCCCCAUUCUUCAUCAAACAAUUUCCCCCCUCCUUUCUUUCACUCUGUCAUCUUCUCUCCAGCCCUCUCUGGGCCGGCUGGCCACCCCCUCAUUACUGUUGUGUAAUUUAAGGCCGCCUAGCUCCGACCGUGUGACAACGUUCAAACCGUGUGACAACACUUAAGGUGCAGCAUGUCCCCUCUGUGAAGUGAGGUCACUGGUGGCCUUGGACCUAAUGAAAAGGGAGCGGAGCGCAAAGCGCUGGCAGUGGAAGCGUGCAGAGCCGCGUAGGAGGGGAGAGAACUGGACACGGGCUCUUUGCUACAGAGCUCUGAAGUCUGUUGGUGUUUAGGAGUCAAGGCUCCUGUGGACAGCAGCUGUAGUUCCACGUCCAAAGUUGGUGAAGUGGAGAAAGAAUGGCUUGUGAACUUGGUCCAUGUGGUUCUUGGUAAUUAUCAUUUCGUAGACAUCUGACAGCCUCUGACACAACACAGAAUGGUCCACUGCACUCGUGCUGACUCUAAAACUCUUUGCAUGAGGACGUGAUGUCAAUCAAAAAAUAAUUUCAAUAGAAAACUUCGGGUACAGCAGUUUUUUGGGGGUUUUUUUUCUCCCAUUCUCACUUUCCAUAUCUAGUCAUCCAACUAGAUAGGCCUAUUCCAUCAGAAAGCUUUCCUCAUUGCCAUUCGUGCAGACGAACAGACCUUCCAACCAGGAAGUCACAUGGGGGUCCGAUGCAUAUUAGGGCCCGCCCAGUCACCUGGCAAACUGCUUGGUAGACACCUGAGGAAGUGGGUAGAGGGGGGUUGAGAUCAGGUAGUCCCUGGUGAAGAUGCCUCCCAACACCUGGGGCAGGGGUGGGUGACCUAGCACCGCCCAUGGGGUUUCCACUCGCCAGACACCGGGGCAGUCAAGACUUGAACCUAGACUGUGGUGAUCCGCUUGGUGCUACAGGUGCUUUGCGCCAUUGUGCUACUUAAGAGCCCCAGUAGUGAUAAUUGUGAUUGGUUCACUGACUGGAUGUGGCGGGAACAAAAUGAUCGCUUCUGAUUCUUACCCUGCAACCAGUCUUUUGUUUUAUUGGGUUUGGAUACAAGUGGUUUUCCUAAUAGUAUCCCUGCCAUAAAUGUCCACUUUGUGAAGCUCCCAACUUCUUUACUACUUUGGAACUGUUAGUUGCUUCAUGUUACUCAGUGACAAUUGCCUGACCUUAUAGCCGACACAUGUACUGUUUAUUGGCCAUCAACCUCAUGUGACCUGUAGCUGAGUUUGUAAUUGUAAUUUAGUUACAUCAAAGUAACAGUUCUUUUCCAUGUGUUUAUUUUUUAUUUUGGCCAUCCCCUGCAGGGUCAGCUCUGGUAGGGACUACUCUACACCUUAAAAAACCUUGAAGGCUUUUGUAAAUGUGUAGCAUUUUGUUGCUUUUCUUCCCCCUCAUCUCCCAUGUGCCUGAACAACAAGUGCAAGAGAAAAUGACUUAUUUUUGUUGCCGUUUAGGUCUUUGUUUUAGUUUUUAGGUGGGUGGUGGAAUGUUGAGACCAGGUUCAGAAUGAAUGUCUACCAUAUAAAUCAAUUUUCCCUUGAUUGUCUAACUUGUUUUAUAUUUGUGUGACCGAAAUCACUGGUCUCUCUGGCUACUUAACAUCAGUCUUUACUCUCUUUCUAAUGAUUAUCUUAUUGCUACUAUGUAACAUGUGGGAAAGCAUUGGAGGAAAGGAUGUUGCAAACUGAAUUACCUUUUUCAAAGCUGGGAGAGGAAUCGACUAAAUCUGGGUCCAGUUUUUCAAAAGUUACCUACUGGGAUUUGGCCUAUUGGAUGGGAUGAUAUGUAUAGAUAUAGGGUUAAUAGAAAAUUAUGAAUCAUUGACUUGAAUAGAGACAUGAUACAUCUGGGAAUUGUUUUUCCUGUGGAUAGGUGCAAUUCAAGUGUAUAACUUUUGGGGAAGAAAUGGCCCUUUAUGACAAUUGUUGUUCUUUUUCAUGUGGGCUCUGCUCUGUAUUUCUGUCCUGAAACAGUGUAACGUGUGUGUGAGAGUGUGAGAGUGUGAGAGUGUGAGAGUGUGAGAGUGUGAGAGUGUGAGAGUGUGAGAGUGUGAGAGUGUGAGAGUGUGAGAGUGUGAGAGUGUGAGAGUGUGAGAGUGUGAGAGUGUGAGAGAGAGAGACUUCUGUUUUUUGCAUGACUAUACAUUUUUGUAUGGG
ensembl:lncRNA